GAAGAAACUAGUCAACGUGCUGGAUGCUGUUUUCAAGCCUGAAGUUCGCUGAUCCAGAGCAGUCUUUCUGCAAACAUAUCUGGAGUCCAUCAGAUGACGGACAUGUUGAAACUACAGCCAACACUUGCUGAUGAAGGAAUGAUCACAGACCAGGAAGAAGAAAUGAGGCAUUUAAAAGAAGAGAACAAAAGAGAUAUGCAGUCAUUGUUGUUUAUGAAAAAAGAAAUUCUACUUGACCACCAGGAAUGGAAUCUGAGUGUUGACCAGGAGGACAUUAAAGAAGAAGAGAAGCUAUGGAGAGAGCAGCUUCAGCAGCUGGAGGAGGC